rnacentral:rRNA from 1 species
UACGUAGGUGGCAAGCGUUGUUCGGAAUUAUUGGGCGUAAAGGGCGCGUAGGCGGUUUGUUAAGUCGGUCGUGAAAGCCCGGGGCUCAACCCCGGAGGGUCGACCGAUACUGGCAGACUAGAGUACAGAAGAGGUAACUGGAAUUCCCGGUGUAGCGGUGAAAUGCGCAGAUAUCUGGAAGAACACCCGUGGCGAAGGCGGCAUCCUGGACCAACACUGACGCUGAGUGAGCGAAAGCCAGGGGAGCAAACGGG